rnacentral:rRNA from 1 species
UACGGAGGGGGCUAGCGUUAAUCGGAAUUACUGGGCGUAAAGGGCUCGUAGGUGGCCAACUAAGUCAGACGUGAAAUCCCUCGGCUUAACCGGGGAACUGCGUCUGAUACUGGAUGGCUUGAGUUCGGGAGAGGGAUGCGGAAUUCCAGGUGUAGCGGUGAAAUGCGUAGAUAUCAGGAGGAACACCGAUGGCGAAGGCAGGUCUCUGGGCCAUAACUGACGCUGAGAAGCGAAAGCAUGGGGAGCGAACAGG